GUGGGGAAUAUUGGACAAUGGGCGCAAGCCUGAUCCAGCCAUACCGCGUGGGUGAAGAAGGCCUUCGGGUUGUAAAGCCCUUUUGUUGGGAAAGAAAUCCUGUCGAUUAAUACUCGGUGGGGAUGACGGUACCCAAAGAAUAAGCACCGGCUAACUUCGUGCCAGCAGCCGCGGUAAUACGAAGGGUGCAAGCGUUACUCGGAAUUACUGGGCGUAAAGCGUGCGUAGGUGGUGGUUUAAGUCUGCUGUGAAAGCCCUGGGCUCAACCUGGGAAUUGCAGUGGAUACUGGAUCAGUAGAGUGUGGUAGAGGGAUGCGGAAUUUCUGGUGUAGCAGUGAAAUGCGUAGAGAUCAGAAGGAACAUCCGUGGCGAAGGCGGCAUCCUGGGCCAACACUGACACUGAGGCACGAAAGCGUGGGGAGCAAACAGGAUUAGAAACCCGAGUAGUCC
rnacentral:rRNA from 1 species